GAUCAUGGGCUCAGAUUGAACGCUGGCGGCAGGCUUAACACAUGCAAGUCGAACGGUAACAUAAAGAAGCUUGCUUCUUUGAUGACGAGUGGCGGACGGGUGAGUAAUGCUUGGGAAUCUAGCUUAUGGAGGGGGAUAACUACGGGAAACUGUAGCUAAUACCGCGUAGAAUCGGGAGAUGAAAGUGUGGGACCUUCGGGCCACAUGCCAUAGGAUGAGCCCAAGUGGGAUUAGGUAGUUGG
rnacentral:rRNA from 1 species